AUUGUUGAUGCAUUUUGAACCUUGAUUGUGUAUAAGUUGGCCAUUUAAAGAGGUUUAUAAUUGGAAUGGGAAUUUUAUAUCUAUAUAUGAUCAACGGUUUAGGUGCCUGCUACUAUAUAAUUAUUUCUGAGUUUUUUUUUUUUUUUUUUUUUGUAUUAACUCAUUGCUUAUAUGUUGCUGCUUGUUAGCAUAUCAAGAAUACUAACUAAUUGAAACAUUGGUUAUACAAUAUAAGUCAAAACUCUCAUGAUGACAAAUAUAUAAACCAUUAAAUUUUGUUUGAUAGGUACAGAGUACUUGGUCAUUAGUUGAUUAAAUUGCAUAAAGGUGUCGAGCAGCUUCUCAUUAACCUAGCUAGUGUCUAAAAAGCUUAUGAAACACUAGUAGAAAAAAUGAAAUAGGCACCGCACAAUCCGCACCGAUUUUUGAAAACCGGUGCGAAAAAAAUAGGCGGGAUUGGGAAAUAGAGUUUUCGCACCGGUUCUAACCAAACCGAUGCGAAAAGUUUGUUUUUCCCACCGGUUUAAACCGAACCGGUGCUAAAACUCUUUCUAAAUAAUAAUAAAAAAAAACCGGUCUCUUUCUUUCCCUUUCAUUUCCUCAUCUAGCCUCUCUUUCUCAUCUAGCCUCUCUCUCCUCAAAAACUCACCAUCACUAAAACACUAACCCACCCACAAAAUUCAACGGCUCCACAGAAGCAGUCUCAAAGGGUUUGGUUUGUGGAGGCGUAGAGCGUACUCGAAAUUCUCCAUUGAAGCGGCUUCUGAGUUCUGACUUUCUGAGCUUUCUCUCCUCGACUCCUCCAUUGAAGGCUUUGAAGGCUUGAAGUAGUCUCUAAGAAAAAUUAUGUGAAGAGAAACAACUACUGUCCACAGUUUAAAAUACUGAAGAUUGAAACAUGACUGUCUGACCUUACAACUUACAGGGUAUGAAUUGCUAUCCUAGAAGCAUCAAUUUCUUUAAAAUCUUGUCUACCUAUCACUGGUCAAAGUUUUGAUAUUCAAUUUUGCUCGAAAUUUGUGUUCUACUGCUGUUAAGCUAAGGAAGUCCUUUAUGGUAGUUGAAUUCGUUGGAAUUGAUGUUAGUUUGUCUAAUUGUUUUCAAAUGAUAUGAUUUUAUGCCUAAUUUUGCUGUUUUAUUUUUAUUUUUAUUUUUAUUUUAUUGAAUUGUGUAUAUGUGCCUAACUUACCCUGUUUCACGCUGGGAUUACAAAUUUUUCUAGAGAAUUUUCAUUAAUUUAGGAUACAACUGCAAUUUUGUUACAAUAUGUACCAGGAAUUAUAGUUUGUCAAAGAUUUGUCAAAGAUUUGUCAUUCCGCAAUCAAGUGCAUGGUUCUGUAAUUUGUUGACUGAUCAUAGAAUCAGAGGCAUGACUCCAAGUAGGGGCUUUUAAAGGUGACAAUGGGGUCAUUUUGUUAUGUUUUGGGUCUGGUGACUUUAGUUUCAGGUAGAAUCAAUCCCAACCUUAGUUUCAGGUAGGAUAAAUUUGGUACGAAUCAUCUAAUUUUGGCUAUGAUUUAGAUAUCAGUCAUCAAAAUUGAAUUUUUUUUCUUCCCGUAAUUAUAUACAUCAUCUCUUCUUUUCAACUCAAUAUAUGAUCUAGU